rnacentral:rRNA from 1 species
AACGAACGCUGGCGGCAUGCCUAACACAUGCAAGUCGAACGGAUGGUUUCGGCCAUCAGUGGCGCACGGGUGAGUAACGCGUGGGAAUCUGCCCGGCAGUGGGGGAUAACCUCUGGAAACGGAGGCUAAUACCGCAUACGCCCCUUGGGGGAAAGGCUUGCUGCUGUCGGAGGAGCCCGCGUCGGAUUAGGUAGUUGGUGGGGUAACGGCCUACCAAGCCUGUGAUCCGUAGCUGGUCUGAGAGGAUGAUCAGCCACACUGGGACUGAGACACGGCCCAGACUCCUACGGGAGGCAGCAGUGGGGAAUAUUGCGCAAUGGGGGAAACCCUGACGCAGCCAUGCCGCGUGAGUGAUGAAGGCCCUCGGGUCGUAAAACUCUGUCGGGAGGGACGAAGGCUUCGGCUUGACGGUACCUCCCAAGAAAGCACCGGCUAACUCCGUG